rnacentral:rRNA from 1 species
UUUGUGGGAAUGCCUUUUUAUUUUAAUAAAAAGAGUAUAUUAGGUUUAACUUUAUAUAUUAUUUUUAUUAAAUUAAGAAUUCAAUACCUUUGAAUGUAAUUCUAGAUAAAAUAUUGAUAAUGACAAAGUUUUAUCUAUAUGUCUUGACCAAAUCUUGUGCCAGCAGUCGCGGCAACACAAGGAAGACAAGUGUUAUUCAUCUUAAAUCGGUUUAAAGGGUACCUAGACGGUGAAUUAGGCCUUAAAUGGAACGUUUUUACUAGAGUUAUAUAUGCAUGAGGACUGUGUGAGUAUUACCAGAGUAGAGAUGUAAUUUUUUGAUACUGUUAAGACUGGUAAAGGCAAAAGCAAACCUUUAUAUAUUAACUGACGUUGAGGGACGAAGGCUUGGGGCGCAAACAGGAUUAGAUACCCCAGUAGUCCAGGCAGAGAAUUAUGAAUGUCAUAGAAUAGAUAUAAUAUUU